rnacentral:tRNA from 3 species
GCGCCCAUCGUCUAGCGGUUAGGACGUCGCCCUUUCACGGCGAAAACAGGGGUUCGAUUCCCCUUGGGCGUACCA